rnacentral:rRNA from 1 species
GACGAACGCUGGCGGCGUGCCUAAUACAUGCAAGUAGAACGCACAGUUUAUACCGUAGCUUGCUACACCAUAGACUGUGAGUUGCGAACGGGUGAGUAACGCGUAGGUAACCUGCCUGGUAGCGGGGGAUAACUAUUGGAAACGAUAGCUAAUACCGCAUAAUAUUGAUUAUUGCAUGAUAAUUGAUUGAAAGAUGCUAUUGCAUCACUACCAGAUGGACCUGCGUUGUAUUAGCUAGUAGGUGAGGUAACGGCUCACCUAGGCGACGAUACAUAGCCGACCUGGGAGGGUGAUCGGCCACACUGGGACUGAGACACGGCCCAGACGCCUACGGGAGGCAGCAGUAGGGAAUCUUCGGAAAUGGACGAAAGGCGGACCGAGCAACGCCGCGGGAGUGAAGAAGGGUUUCGGAUCGUAAAGCUCUGUUGUAAGAGAAGAACGGGUGUGAGAGUGGAAAGUUCACACUGUGACGGUAUCUUACCAGAAAGGGACGGCUAACUACGUG